GCGCGAUGACGAGCCGAUCGUUUGAAUCGGGUGUGUUGGAACAGGGAAACAUCUAAAACGUGCCGAUCAGAGUCCCCGAGGUCCAGGAUCGACAAAACACUGUGAUUCAGGGUUUUCUCAGACAAGACAAAGCAAAGCAGAGGACGUUUGCCAGGUGUUGUGCUGGGAGGGCCGGGCUGCAGCUGAUCAGAGCCGGCCUGCUCCAGAGCAACAGAAGACAGCCGACAUAAAAGAGAGUGGAGACGGAACCUGAGUCUCCGAUGACGGAGUUUUCGCCUGUUGUACCUGUGUUAUGGUGGCGUGAGGAAGUCCUCUGCCCUCUUCAAGGUGGAGCAGACGGAGCACCUGGAGUACACGGAUUAUACGGAGGUCACCAACAAAACCUUCAGGUUACAACCCCAGUGAAGAACUACCUGCUGUCUGACUGUCGUCCCUGCGAUUAUGGUUGAACCCCUCCCUCCCCUCAUCACGAACCACUGAUUCACGUUACAUCUCUUUCGUUUUUAAGGGAGAGCGUGCAUCCCACCUCCCUCUGCAUCCACAUCCCCUCCUCCAGGCCCUGCGACAGCCCACAGAGCAGGGAAACAGGAAAUGGAGCAGAGAGACGCGACAGCCCAGCACGAGACUGGAACCAAACCCUCCCACACACACAACACACACACACACACACACAGACACAGACACACACAUACAGUAAUACACCAAACCACAGGAAGCCCCAUUUGAUUUCUAACUUGUCGUCCUCCAGAGAUGCUUUUCUGCUUUGCUCACAACUGAUCAUUCCCCACAUGUCCAACAGGGUAUAGUUUUAAAUAGGUUAUAAAUGCUUUCGGAUGCAAAGUCAGGAGAUAUUUUUGACCUCUUUGGUGGAAACCUAUUAGCUACAGUGCUUUCACAGCUCAUAAACAUGUUGGUUUUUUUUUCCAGCAUUUGCCCCCAACCUUGUGUUUGCAAUGUUGUGGGGGCUGCAGCCAACUCAGUUGCAACUUACUGCUGUGUGUUAGCAGUAUUAGCAGUGAGCUAACGAUUUGAACAGGUUAAUUUAUCAAAGCGUCUGAUGAUAACAUAUAAUCACUGACAACUACCAAGCUAACUAGCUCCUGUAAGCUGGCAAAGUAAGCGAAAGUUGAAAGAAUUAUAGCCGGCUCCACUUGUGUGAAGUGAAGUCAAACAAGGUGUUCAAAUACAUACCUUGCAUAAACAUUAUCAAAUUGGCUCUGUUGAAGGGGAAAUCCAACUGUUUUACAUGUCAAAGUCUGUUUUGUAGAGUGCUAUAUGUGGAUGGAAAAUAUCUUGUUUGAAUCCUUUUGGGGCUCCAGAGGAGUGAACCCACCCGACCUCUGCAGCCCACUCCCAUCUCUCUGCUGCAGGCUAACAGCUUGAGGCUGUAUUAGCUACCAGCAUUACAUAUCACAAUCUCUGGCAGAACUGUCGGUGGUGAAGUUGUGCCGUGGGUAACGUACAGUAGCUGCCAGGUUUGACAAGGAAGGAAAGUGUGUGGAAUAAAGAAGUCAGCAUCUCUCUUUAUUGUCUGCCAGACUUGUGUUAUACUGCAGAAGUGCUCUUUUAAAAAC